AACGGGUCCCUGAACACAAGUUUAACCACAAAAAUUCAGUUGAAAAUUGUAUUUAUUCAAGAAUAACUCUGGGAAACGAUAACAAAUUAUAUGUAUGCACAUUACAUGUGAUUACUUCUCUACACGUCAACAAAAUCCCUGUUAACAAUGAUAAAAUAUGAGUUGAUAUCCCGCAAAAUUAAGACCUACAUAAUGCUGUAUCUAUAAAUAUUGCGCUACUUUGCAGAUUUGCACUGAAAUAUGUUUGCGAUGGGAUAUUCUAAAUGCAAGCACAAGUACUCUCCAAGAUUUUUUUCAAUGUUCUGUUCAUUUUUAUACAACCACUACAAUAAUACAAACACAUUUAAGCAUGAAGUAAUACAUGUAUUCUUAUUAAAUGGAAAUCCAUUCCAAAUAAAAAGUUGUUUUUAGAAGAAAAAUCAGACAAGUUGAUCGGUGAAAGUUUGAACCAAAUCGGACAAACAAUAAUAAAGUUAUAAACUUUAAAAAGAUGUAUAAAUUGGAAAUCACAACACCAAUGGAGACUUCAAAUUGGCCGCAUUUGUCAUGUCAUGAUGUAAGGCAAGGACUAAUCUUCCAUGUACUCUGAUACAAAUAAUGGCUAGAAUGUCAUUAAAAAAAAAAUCAAAUUGUAUUUUUCUUUCAUGAGGAUAUAAAACAAUAUACUUCCUGUGUUAUAUUCUUAUCAUGGCCCCAGGAGAAUAAGUACAUGUACUUGGAAGGAAACCACGAAUCCCUGACAAUUAAGUACAUGGCCUAUGGGAAAGUUGACUUUGCCCCUUGUCAUAAUUUACUUAUCCAGUUGCCAAUUUGAAAUUUGCAUAGCCUUGGGGAUCUCAAUUCUAAAACAGCAAUAACUUUCUUAUUUCUUGUGCGAUUUCUAUCAAACUUUCACCAUUUUGUUUUACUUAUUUUUCUCAUUUCCCACACAACAUAUUAUGACCAAGGUUGAAUUCCCCUUCAAAGGAUUUUCUCCCCCCCCCCCCCUCUCUUUCUCCCUUUCCGUUCGUCUCUACACAUGACAUGAAUGCCACGCUGAUUUGAAGGGUAAAGACUAGCUCAUAUUGACAAUGGUUCUCAAGUAUCUCCCCAAUCUAUAUGUGAAGUAUACUACACACUACUCAGCUAAUCUGGUAUCAUCUAAACAUGAACAAUGUUACAGGAUUCCUGAGAUGCCACAAGUUAUCUGUACAAAAGAAACCCCAACAUUUGAAUAAUUGAGACAGACCUUGAAGUCACCAACUUCCUCAUGCCUACCAAUGCUAACAAGAUGAGCUAUUGGCCCUCAAUCACAAGUAAGGUUUGGUAAGAUGUUAUAAACAUCGUGGGUGUUGAUUUGUUUUGGAAAUCUAUUGUUCAAGGGGGGGAUGAUCUAUUGUUUCAUUCCCCCCCCCCCACACACACACACUUGAAUAGUAUGACGUCACGGGUCGCCUUAAGUGAUUAACAUCAAAAUAUGCGCAGACUCUAGAUUUUACAAACAUAAAAGUGCCUAAAAUGCCCAUCUGAUCUGCUACUGUUCCAUAGAGCAUGUCUAGUCUUAUCUGCAGGAGUCACUGUGCUGGUCUUCCCCUAACCUCAACCCCUCCAGAAAGUGGUAGAGUGAUGCAUAAGUAAACUGGAAGAUGUUUCCAUUCAAUCAUCAUUAGUUUUAGAAAAUAUUACAAGUUUUCAAUGAAUGUCUCUGAAAAGAGUAAUGAUUAUUUAAAGAAUACUGGCUUAUGCCCGGUUGACACUUGCACGCAUUGUGGUGCCCGCAUUGAUGCGUGCCAAUGCGGGACACUUUAUGGCACGACUUGGCUAUAUCAGUUCACGCAAUGUCCCGACACGUUCACAACAUGUUUGCACAUUGUUUGCGCACAGUUCGCGCAUAGUUCACCCAGUGUUCGCGCAUAGUUCACGCAGUGUUCACGCACUGUCCCGACAUGCUUUCAGCAAAUAUUCUCGACACCCUAUUCUGUGACGUAUCUAGCGCAAAUUUAAAUAUUCAACGUUCUUGUGUUGACACCCUCUACGUUCGUUGAUUAGGACGACUCAUACUGAUCACGUGGUCUGCACUCAGAAUUUUGCGCAUAUCAUUCGUGAACUAUGCGUGAAGUAUGCUUGACCUAUGCGCAAAGUAUGCGCGACCCUGUCGUGAACUAGUCGUGAACUGCGUGCCGCUACCCCUGGGGUGUGCUUACUAUUCUUUGCGCCACGAAAUUUCUAUUUCGAUGCCACGAAGUGGUACGCAGUAGCACGACUAGGUUGCGCAUAGGUUGAGCAUAGUUCACGAAUUUAUAAUGCGUGCCAAAAUUUUCAACAUGUUGAAAAUUUUGGCACGCACUGCCACGCACCUAUCCGCAAGCUGGCACGCAAAGCUCGCGCAUUGGCCCGCAUGAGUGCGUGCCCAUGCGCAGACUAUGCGGGAACCAGAAUGCGUGCAAGUGUCAACCGGGCAUUAGCUUACACUGCAUGGUUAAGCAUUCAAAAGAUUUUUAUAUACCAGAGUUUGCAUUGAAACUCAUGACAUUGUUAAAGAUCAAUCAUGAGGUGAUCGAUUUAUGAGAUCAUGCCUCAAAUUUGUUUGCACGUUCGUUGAAUAAUCUUGUUUUCGUUGAAGCAGUUAAUGCAUAAUUAUCAGCAUAAGUAGGGUGAUUCCCUACACCAUGUCUGCAUGCAAUUGCUGACCAUCAUUGUCUCAUAAAGUCAGGAUGCUUUAGUUUAGGGGUAAUAAAACAUUAAAGGUCGACAUGUACAAGUAUUGUACGCCUAUUGUUACCGCACAGUUUCUUAUAGUUUGAGUUUGCAUAUUUUUAAGAAAUCUGUUUUAUUUCAAAUUAAAUUUGGCAAUAUAACAUAUAAAAUGCUUCCAAACUGACUGACUGGCAUCUCUGCUUACAACUCUAACCAUUGGUUACAAGUACAAAAUCAUCCUUAUUUCAAUAAAGCAAUACAUCUUGCUCCUGUGAAACAACAUUCAUAGUCCUAGCUCACCUUCCUUUAUAAUAUAGAUACAUGUAUAUGAGCCAAAUUAUGACACAAAACAUGAACCCAUUACUGAAGUAAAUCAUUAUCUCUGUACAUUGCAGUACAUGUCAGUAAAUAUAUUUCAUGCUGCAUAAGCACUGCAGAUUUGUUUAAACAUACAUGCACCAAAUCAACCAAACUCCUUCCUACAUAACCUACCAACUGAAAUUUACUUUCAAAUAACAUCAUACCUGUUUCUAAAGUGUAAUAUUAUGCAAAACACCUAAUUAAAGUACAUAUAAAAUAUUCCCAGUUAGUUUGCACAACCCCAGAGGGCCCAAACUACAUUGAAUGGAAGAAAACUUGAAGUGCACACAAGAGUCAAGGAUGAAUAUUAUACAGAUCGGGCGAUCUUAGCCAGUGAGGAUUGUAAUAACUAUUUAACCAGCAAGCUACUGAAGAGAGCAAGGAAUAAGUUGAAUAUGGAUACAAGAG